CCUGUGGUGAGAUGACCUGGUGAAAUGAGAGAUUAACCCUCGUCCUCCCUGCGUCGCCUCAGUAGGAAGUUUCAAGGACCAACAACACAUCUCGGUAUGACAAGCUAAGACUCUACUAAACAAACUGAUGAAACACCUCUGACCUGUGGGACACACUUGUAUGUGAUGCCAUCAACAGCAACUGAUGAAACACCUCUGACCUGUGGGA
rnacentral:lncRNA from 1 species